rnacentral:lncRNA from 1 species
GGGAGACCUUCUACCCUAUGGUUGGUUACCAUAUGCUUUGAGGGAGCACUUCAUUAGGCAUCUCACUUUGGCAUGGGAGGUGUUGGAAAAUUCCACCACUCCGAUUGAGGGGUUACGAAGACAGCCAUCUAGGCUCUUAGAUGCCUUGUCCUCCACCAUUAGGUCUUGGAUCUUUUUGGAGGGCUUGCUCCUUUUACUUAGAGCUACUUUUUGGCCUUUCUUGGAGAUACAUCAUGAAGGCG